rnacentral:lncRNA from 1 species
GUCUCCCUUAUCUCCAACUCUUGCGGCGACUCUGUAACUUCGGUUGACUGGUGCGUGGCGGCUCCGAUAGCGCCACCGCCGGUCUAGUUCGCUUUGUCUCCUUUAGAUUGUAGUUUGUGUAGCCAUGACUUUUGGUUUGUCGGUGUGUAACUUUACCUCUGUUUUGGGAGAGACUCGCUCACUUCAAAUCAACUUGGGUCUUCUGAUUUGGUUGGGUUUUUGCUACAAAAGUACCCGGAUCUAUCGAUUCACGGUGUAGUUUAACUACAAAGGCUUUUGUUUUCGAACCUCAGUCUAGAUCUAUUUUGCCCAGUUGUUGUUGCGUUUCUUCUUCGCCUCUGGGAUGGUCUCUUCUUUGUAGGUGUAGGCUGUCUGUGUGGAGUCUGCUGUGGCUUCCAUCUUGUCCACUCUUAUGCCGUUCUUGGCCUGUGCUCGUCUUCCGGAUCAAGUGGGCCUCGCCCCUAGCUGUCUGUUCAAAUCUCGUGGAGAUUUGUUGUUUUGUGGCUUCAUUCUUAGGCUUUCAAGGGUUGAUGAAGACCCAGCCGCUUUCGGGAGUUCUCGUCUGAAUCUGUGAUUGAUUCUAACUUCUGCUUUAUGAAGCCUUGUUACUUGGUUCUUUGGUUCUUGAGGUGUUUCCUCGUUGUGCUAGGAGGAGGUGGUUUAGCGGUGGUCUGGCCGAGGGCAUUCACGUUAAACAGCUGUCAUAGAUUCUCUAAAAGCUAGUCAUCCCUGCUAUUGUUGUUAGACUUUUUUCUGGAGGUUUGGAAGUUUAAUUGCUUGUGUUAAGAGUGUAGUUUGCUUCGUUCUUGUUUGCUACCCCGCAGUGGGUUCUAGUAUCCGGAGAUAUCUCUGUCUUCUGCCGGUUUAGCUAACCACGGAGAAUCAUACUAUCCGUUGGUGUUGUAUGAUCCUACUUUGGUUUAAUAAAAUAUGUUGAUGGGAAAA